rnacentral:lncRNA from 1 species
UUACCCAAAAAGAUAGAAAUAAAAUUAUUCAAGAAAAAAUAGAACACAUAUCCGCUGUAGCAAAACUAAACUUGGCUAAUUUGUUCAUCCAGGUUCUACUCCUGACAGCGGAAAUUACUUUUGGAUUAUUUUUUUGUAUUUUUCAUUUUUUAUAUCUAUUUCACUCACUAAUCGCCAUUCAAGCUAUAAAUAAAAUUACUGAAAAAAUAAAAUACAAAUCCGUAGUGGCAAAACUAAUCUUGGCUAAUUUGUUCUUUCAGGUUGCACUCUUGGCAGCGGAAAAUACUUUUGAAUUCUUUUUAUUGUAUUUUACGUUUUUAUAUCCAUUUCACUCACUAAUCACCCCUCAAGCUGUAAAUAAAAUUAGUGAAAAAAAAGAACAAAAAUCCGCUGUAGCAAAACUAAACUUGGCUAAUUUGUUCAUCCAGGUUCGACUCCUGGCAGAGGAAAAUACUUUUGGUUUGUUGUUUUAUAUUUUACGUUUUUUUGAUAUGUAUUCCACUCACUAAUCACCCACAAAGAUAUAAAUAAAAUUUUUCAAGAAAAUAGAACACAAAUCCGCUGUAGCAAAACUAAACUUGGAUAAUUUGUUCAUCCAGGUUCGACUCCUCGCAGCGAAAAAUACUUUUGGAUUGUUUUUUUUGUAUAUUUUGUUUUUAUAUCCAGUUCACUCACUAAUUACCCCUCAAGCUAUAAAUAAAAUUACGUAAAGAAAAAACACAAAUCCGUUGUAGCUAUACUAAAGUUGGGUAAUUUGUUCAUCUAGGUUCAACUUUUGCCGGCAGAAAAUACUUUUGGAUUCUUUUUAUUGUAUUUUUCGUUUAUAUAUCCGUUUCACUUAGUCAUCACCCCUCAAGCUAUAAAUAAAAUUACUAAAAAAAAAAAA